rnacentral:rRNA from 1 species
GUGGGGAAUCUUCCGCAAUGGGCGAAAGCCUGACGGAGCAACGCCGCGUGAGUGAAGACGGCCUUCGGGUUGUAAAGCUCUGUUAUAUGGGACGAACGGGUGUAUGGUCAAUACCCAUACGCCGUGACGGUACCGUAAGAGAAAGCCACGGCUAACUACGUGCCAGCAGCCGCGGUAAUACGUAGGUGGCAAGCGUUGUCCGGAAUCAUUGGGCGUAAAGGGCGCGCAGGCGGUUCGGUAAGUCGGUCUUAAAAGUGCGGGGCUUAACCCCGUGAUGGGAUUGAAACUGCCGGACUGGAGUGUCGGAGAGGAAAGCAGAAUUCCUAGUGUAGCGGUGAAAUGCGUAGAUAUUAGGAGGAAUACCAGUGGCGAAAGCGGCUUUCUGGACGACAACUGACGCUGAGGCGCGAAAGCCAGGGGAGCAAACGGGAUUAGAUACCCGAGUAGUCC